rnacentral:rRNA from 1 species
AUCNGGCUACCAUGCAGUCGAGGGGCAGCAUUUCAGUUUGCUUGCAAACUGGAGAUGGCGACCGGCGCACGGGUGAGUAACACGUAUCCAACCUGCCGAUAACUCGGGGAUAGCCUUUCGAAAGAAAGAUUAAUACCCGAUGGNAUAAUCAGACCGCAUGGUCUUAUUAUUAAAGAAUUUCGGUUAUCGAUGGGGAUGCGUUCCAUUAGGCAGUUGGUGAGGUAACGGCUCACCAAACCUUCGAUGGAUAGGGGUUCUGAGAGGAAGGUCCCCCACAUUGGAACUGAGACACGGUCCAAACUCCUACGGGAGGCAGCAGUGAGGAAUAUUGGUCAAUGGGCGCAGGCCUGAACCAGCCAAGUAGCGUGAAGGAUGACUGCCCUAUGGGUUGUAAACUUCUUUUAUAUGGGAAUAAAGUUUUCCACGUGUGGAAUUUUGUAUGUACCAUAUGAAUAAGGAUCGGCUAACUCCGUGCCAGCAGCCGCGGUAAUACGGAGGAUCCGAGCGUUAUCCGGAUUUAUUGGGUUUAAAGGGAGCGUAGGUGGACAGUUAAGUCAGUUGUGAAAAGUUUGCGGCUCAACCGUAAAAUUGCAGUUGAUACUGGCUGUCUUGAGUACAGUAGAGGUGGGCGGAAUUCGUGGUGUAGCGGUGAAAAUGCUUAGAUAUCACGAAGAACUCCGAUUGCGAAGGCAGCUCACUGGACUGCAACUGACACUGAUGCUCGAAAGUGUGGGUAUCAAACAGGAUUAGAUACCCUGGUAGUCCACACAGUAAACGAUGAAUACUCGCUGUUUGCGAUAUACAGUAAGCGGCCAAGCGAAAGCAUUAAGUAUUCCACCUGGGGAGUACGCCGGCAACGGUGAAACUCAAAGGAAUUGACGGGGGCCCGCACAAGCGGAAGAACAUGUGGUUUAAUUCGAUGAUACGCGAGGAACCUUACCCGGGCUUAAAUUGCAUUUGAAUANUUUGGAAACAGNNUAGCCGNAAGGCAAAUGUGAAGGUGCUGCAUGGUUGUCGUCAGCUCGUGCCGUGAGGUGUCGGCUUAAGUGCCAUAACGAGCGCAACCCUUAUCUUUAGUUACUAACAGGUCAUGCUGAGGACUCUAGAGAGACUGCCGUCGUAAGAUGUGAGGAAGGUGGGGAUGACGUCAAAUCAGCACGGCCCUUACGUCCGGGGCUACACACGUGUUACAAUGGGGGGUACAGAAGGCAGCUACCUGGUGACAGGAUGCUAAUCCCAAAAGCCUCUCUCAGUUCGGAUCGAAGUCUGCAACCCGACUUCGUGAAGCUGGAUUCGCUAGUAAUCGCGCAUCAGCCAUGGCGCGGUGAAUACGUUCCCGGGCCUUGUACACACCGCCCGUCAAGCCAUGAAAGCCGGGGGUACCUGAAGUACGUAACCGCAAGGAGCUCCUAGNAA